GGAGGAAGAAGGGGGCGCGGGGAGGGCUGGGCGUCGGUAGACGCUGGCUAUGCUGGCGAGGCAGGAGCGGGAGACUGGGUGAGCGUAGUCCAGCGGGAGGGUGUCACCCACGUGGGCGGUGGUCCGCCAACCCGCCAGAAGGACUGUGACCGUGGUGGGGAAGCUGAGCCUCCAGAGCUGGGCCCCCAGGCUGGUGGUGCGUGUCGUCGUCGGGGAACCCGCCGGUCUGCCACGUCGUCCAACUCACAUCUGGAGCCGCAGUUAGGAAAUGAGACACCAACGGGGACCGACCAGGGAAAGAGAAACCAACUCUGAAUAUUUACUGGAAUCUUGUAGAAUACUGGAAGAAUUCGUGGAAUUAAGGAGAGGGCUCCUGUAACUUCAGGAAGAAACGUGGACCAAUACCUGAGCUUCUCUCUCUACAACACCAUCAGAGGAUAACUCCAGGCAAAUGUUCAUCUUUGUGUCUACUUGGCUAGGCCACAGCACCUAGGCAUUCGGUCAAAUAGCACUGUAAAUGUUUCUCUGAAGACAUGUAAAGAAUGAGAUUACCAUUUAAAUCAGUAGACUUUGAGUAAAGCAGCUUACCCUCCAACCAGUUGAAGGUCUUAAUGGGGGGGAAAAAAAAAGACCUCCCAUAGGUAGUGUACUAGUCAGGGUUCUCCUGUUACCUGCUGCUUACUCAUUGGGGAAUGUAAUCUUUAACCCCAUUCCUUGUAUAACACCAAGUCAGAAAUACGUGUAAGAGAAUUGCAUCGAGCCCUAAACCCACACCUAGUGAGGAAUAGUGCUAGUGCAUAAAUCACGCCUACUGUUAGGAACUCAAGCUGCAAAAGCUCCCUGGCUUUGUAUCAAUUUAGCUCACCACCAUAGAUUAUAUAUCUUAUGUCAAAUCUCUUGCUUGUUGGAAGAUUCUCAGACUUCAGGGUCUAGUUUUUUCUCCUUCCAUGCUUGCAGGUUGCAGGUAAAUAAAAAGUAUUGUCUCUAGUGGAUCUGUGACA
rnacentral:lncRNA from 1 species